GCGCAAAUUACCCAAUCCUAAUACAGGGAGGUAGUGACAAGAAAUAACAAUACAGGACUUUUUGGUUUUGUAAUUGGAAUGAGUUAAGUAUAAACCCCUUUACAAGUAUCAAUUGGAGGGCAAGUCUGGUGCCAGCAGCCGCGGUAAUUCCAGCUCCAAUAGCGUAUAUUAAAGUUGUUGCAGUUAAAAAGCUCGUAGUUGGAUUUCUGUUAAUAAUUUAUAUAAAAUAUUUUGAAUAUUUAUAUAACAUUAACAUAAUUCAUAUUACUAUAUUUUUUAGUAUAUGAAAUUUUACUUUGAGAAAAUUAGAGUGCUUAAAGCAGGCAUAUGCCUUGAAUACUCCAGCAUGGAAUAAUAUUAAAGAUUUUUAUCUUUUUUAUUGGUUCUAAGAUAAGAAUAAUGAUUAAUAGGGACAGUUGGGGGCA
rnacentral:rRNA from 1 species